rnacentral:lncRNA from 1 species
UGGCUCAGAACUCAUUUAGUUUCAUUAUCUUCAUUUCCCUACACACCCUUCUGGGCUGUGAUCAAACGCCAAGGCUUUUUCCUGCCGAAGCUCACUGCUGAACACCAUACUGACAUUUGUCAGCUUUAACUAGUUCUUUACCCCCACGUUUUUCUGUCAUUUCAACAAGCAUUGGCCUGCCUAGCACAGAACGAACAGAUUCUUUGUGAGGAUCAGCUAGUGUGUAUUAAACUAUUGUCAGUGUUACUGACACACAGAAGCCGCCUUCGAUGGAAGAGAACUCUUAUUGAACAAAAGAUCUUAGUUCCACAGCACCAAGGAUGCUUCACGUCUCUUCCAAGACCCUGGCCAUCCAGGUCCCCUACUGCUGCAGAAGGCCUAAGAUCCAGAGGAUGGAAGUUCCACUUUAAGAUGGGUGCAGGAGGGGAGUUCUAUUCCUGUGGAGCUUCUGAGAGCUGGGGCUAGAAGGUGAAGAUGUAACCCACACAACUCCUGGGGUCCCAUCUAGUGGCACCGAGACUACUAAGAGCAUGCGUUAAAUGAAUCUGCUCUACAGCCUUAGCUAAGAGCCAAUUGGCUUUUAGCUCAUGUGGUAGAGGCUCAUGCUUUAAGCUCCAGGGGCCCUAGGUUCAAUCCUGCCCACCGAUGACCUUGGUCUGUUGCGUUACAAAGGCAUGUGCCCUGUGGAGCUUCUAAGUGUCAUCAGAGCAGUCACCCUGGUGUAAUGGAGCGUGACUCUCUACCAGGUAGUUGGCUUUUCCAGCAAUUCCAGUCCACUCACCACAGCAGGUCUGCUUAAUUGUGAAUUCUGGGAAUAGCAGCAGCUGGGGAGGGGGGCGCAUGGAUGUUUUAAGAUCUGCAUGAUAUGCAGUGAAUGGGCAGGGAGGGACACGUGGGGAUCUUUGUCAUUUGGAUCCUCUCACUUGGAGACUAAGGCGGCUCUGCAGGCAGUGAUUCUGGAGCCAGUUCACUAUAAAGUCAGCUUAGGCACCCAUGCCCCCAGUGCAUAAUUCCUUAGUGCUCUAAUUCAGGAAAGCCUUUAGGCAUAUGAUUAACCUUAAACUCAUGCUUAAGCCUCGUUGGCAUCUAUGAGACUUAAGCACAUACUUAAAGUAAAACCGGUGCUUAAGUGGUUUCCUGAAUGGGGAUGGUUUCCCGAAUCAGGGCCUAGGAGUACACUUAAUGACCUUAGCAACAGUAUCUGCUGAACGCAUGGCAUAUGUCAUUUUCAAAUGCUCUUAAUUCAGUCAUAGCAAAAUCACUUUCCUCUGGAAACAGCUUGAGCUCUGCUCCUCAAUGAGGGCCAUUCCCAUGCUAGAUCAGGACAAUUAACCGUCAGUCAUUUGGGCUCCAAAAAAUCUAAAGGAUAUUUUUAUAAUGGGAAAAGUAUAUUUUCCCCACUCUCUUCUCACUCAAAAAUAAUAGAACCAUUUUCAAGAUGAAAAAGAUGGACAAAUACCAAGAA